rnacentral:sRNA from 1 species
CCGCAAGCCGUGUUAACCGGACGUGGCAGGGAUGAUGAACGAAGGGUUUUUCCGGUUUCUCCUUGCGGCCGCGAAAUGGCAGGCGAGCAUCCAACCUGUCCGGCUU